AGUAAGGUCAGCUAAAAAAGCUAUCGGGCCCAUACCCCGAAAAUGACGGUUUAACUCCCUCCCUUACUA
rnacentral:tRNA from 1 species